GACGAACGCUGGCGGCGUGCUUAACACAUGCAAGUCGAGGGAUGAAAGCCUUAUGAACUAUUCGUAGUGAUUGGGGCCGGAUUAGCGGCGGACGGGUGAGUAACGCGUGAGCAACCUGCCUUAAACAACGGGAUAGCCUCGGGAAACCGGGAUUAAUACCGUAUGAGACCCCGCCUUCACAUGAAGAAGAGGUUAAAGAUUUAUCGGUUUAAGAUGGGCUCGCGUCUGAUUAGCUAGUUGGUGAGAUAAAAGCCCACCAAGGCAACGAUCAGUAACCGGCUUGAGAGAGUGAACGGUCACAUUGGAACUGAGACACGGUCCAAACUCCUACGGGAGGCAGCAGUGGGGAAUAUUGCACAAUGGGGGAAACCCUGAUGCAGCGACGCCGCGUGAGCGAUGAAGGAAUUCGUUUCGUAAAGCUCUGUCCAAGGGGAAGAUAAUGACAGUACCCUUGGAGGAAGCCCCGGCUAAAUACGUGCCAGCAGCCGCCGUAA
rnacentral:rRNA from 1 species